rnacentral:lncRNA from 1 species
GCUAGGUAUAUGAUUCAACUUUGGCAACAUUCCGGUAUAUACAAUUCCUAAUUAUUACCAGACUAUCAUCAUUGUUAUUAUUUUGCGAGGAGGAUUAGGCCAUCAUUAGAGAAUAGUUGCGAAGUGGAGAAGUCACAUGCACAGAUAUACUUUUGCAAGGACAUUGGCAUCCAAAAAAGUACAGAAAAAGGCAAAACCACCUCCAAAAAAGCUUGCAAUGUUUCGAGUGACAGCCCAUGGUAUCUUUGAUUUUGUUGUCCUAAAUGUUGCUAUCCAGGUGGAUCCGGGAGAUAUUUUAGAUAUUUUCAUCAUUGUGGUUAACAAGUCUAG